rnacentral:tRNA from 1 species
GGGGUGGUAGUAUAGUUAUUGCACACGAUUUCGGCUCGUGGGACGGAAGGUCUUCCCCACCCUU